CAGUCGCUUGGUGCUUAAGGAGGCAAAUAUGGCUGAUAUCUGUGUUUAUUAAGUGGAUUAAGUUGGUGGUUAGCACUUUCGCCUUGCAGCUAGAAGAUACCCAGUUUGCAUCCCAGCCUUCCUGGGAUCUUUCUUGCAUGCGUGGGUUUUCUCCAGGUUCUCCAGCUUCCUCCUACUCUCAAAAAACAUGCUGAGGUUAAUUGGUGAUUCUAUAUUGUCCGUAGCUGUGAAUGUGAGUGUGAUUGUUUGUCUGUAUAGAGUGUCUCUAAAGUCUGGACACACAGGAAACACAGAUUAAAAAUGGCUUUGUCGAAAGAAGAAGUACUCAGUGGACAUGAAGGAUGGACAUAUCGAAAGAUAGCAGAUGAAAUUAAUAUUUUGACAUAUUCUAUCUGUGGAGACAAAAAAAUUACAGUUAAUGAGAUUUCCUAUGUGUCCAGGCUUUAGGUCGAGACAAGGGAACCAAUCGGAGGGCGGGAAUGUAGGACAGCCGUGAACAUUGACCAGUUGCAGAGCCUUUUUUGGCUGCCCAUAGAGCCAGUCAGUUCCUUCUUUCUCUUGAUUCCCAAAGGAAUAUAACCAGCCAUCCAUUCAGAAUUCCAGUUCGGAAAAUCAGGAUAUCAUGUUUGGAAAAUGGGGAUGCUAUUCCAAACACUUUGGGGUUGAAACGGAUCAGCUUACACUGUGGAAAAGGACACAACUUAUGGGGCACAAAGGGGAUAUAUUCCAUAUGUUUAUUUUGUCUCAACCAGCUGUAUCCUCCUCUACCUCCACUUCUUCCUCCUCAUAAUUCUCUUCCUCAUUAUUGCUCACACCAUUUAGAUUGGUGACCUGUCCCAUACCUUCACUCUAAGUCAGCUGGGAUAAACUCCAGACCACCAUGAACCUAAUGAGAAUUAAGUGGUGUAUAGACAAUGGAUGGGUGUUGUGUGGUAGCUACUGACAGCUUGAAAGCUGAUAGCUUUGGUAACAUUCAGAAAGAUAGUUUUGUUUGUGAAACUUGUAUUGGAAGUUUUGUUUAGGGCGUCUUUACAUGAUUUUCUACUAAUCCGAACCCAAAUCUUUUUAAGGACAGUACAGGGCUGCAGCCUCAGCACCGGUUUGCAGCAACGUUCCUCAGCCUUUUUCCAUCUGCAUCUGUUUCCUCCCUUUUUGCACACACAAUGGCACAUGCCAGCACAUAUGUUGGCAUGCACACACACACACACACACACACACACACACACACACACACGCACACGCACACGCACACGCACACACGCACACACACACACACACACACACACACACACACACACACACACGUGGGCAUGUGUUUGGACUGAAUGUUCAACACUUCUGUGGCCAGCUUCUCGGCGAACCGUCAUUAUCUUCCACAGAGGAAGCUGCUGAACAGACCGCCAAUUAAGCGCGCUGCAACAUCCGAAGUCGAGUGCGUAAUGGACGAGUAACGCCGCCACAAUUCACAGCUAAUACGACAAAAACACAGAGCUGAGAAACAAACUUCCCUGUUUUCUCUAAUACACCAGGGAGAGUUACAUCAUUUGUCAGAUCUUGUUCAGUUCUCUGGACUGUUGUGUCAAACAGCUUCGUGUUUCGCUUUGAUCAAACCAGACGCAAGACUGUCUAGAAAGCAACAGGAACCCAUUUUCUGAUGACACCUUAAAUGCACCAACUAAUUAUGAGCUCUAAAAAAAAAACACAAAGCAGAAAGUGCGAGAGAUGUCGAAUCUGUCAGAAAGCAUAACAGUAAUUCUAUAUGUUCAUUAUGGAAGCUCUUGCAUAAUGUUGCAUAUUGUAAGUGAUUUAUGAAAAAAAUAAGUCAGAAGCACUUUGUCUUGCAUUUAAAAGUCUGUUUCUCCAAAAUAGCCUUGUAGCUUUAAUUAGCAGCUGUCUUAGAACAGAGCCAGCCUCGGGGUAAACAGUGCCUCGCUGGCCUCUGGCUGUGUGUUCGUGCCUUGCAGCCUAACAGAGAGAUUUCACUUUGACUCUGUCAUUGACUUGGCCUCCGGCUGCAGCACCUCAGGAUCAGUACAGGCCUUAAUGAAGUGUUGCUCGACGCUGCAGCUCAUGAGUUAGAGUACACCUGGGAGACUCGGUGGGGGGAGGAAGGAGGGAGGCCGGCGCUCGCUUCGGUGUGUGUUGGGAGGAAUGCCUCGGUGGAGAUGGAAGCUGGAGAACGCAGUUUUAUGUAGCGCAUGUUGAUGAAACACACACAAAGGCAGACAAACAAGACAUGUAACAGCUGCUUGUUAUGAAAAUGUGACAACUAGAGGAAAUAUCGUCUCGGUGCAUGUACAAGUGUUGGACUUCGAGUCACCUGUAGGGCAGAAGUGACACAUCACAGCUUCAACAUGACAACUGAUCCAUUUACAACCUGACAAUAGCUGUAAAACACCACCAGAAUAUCUGCAGACUCCAAUGAAGACGCUUGACAAGCUAAACUUUCUUAAGUCUGCUGCUGCUUCAGAGUCUGUUUCAAGAAAUACCAAAUAUUUAGUCAUAAACCCCCUUUGGCUACGCUCCCACUGCCACAGAUUCAAGUUUAAUCUCUUGUUCUAAGGAUUUUGGUGCAUCGCUGUUCUGGCUCAACAGUUUUGGUUGCAUCUCCAUAUUUGUGAGUCUGGUUCUGUGAGAGAGGUGGAGUUUCUGAAGAUGAUGAUUUGCCAGCUCUGUACCCUCAGUAGCUGACAUUACAGCUGAUCUUCAUGCUCCACUGGUCAAGAAAAGGUGUCUGCAGGCUUCUUCUCUUAAUCACAGAUUCUUUCUCUACCGGCGCCCAGUAGGUCAACCUGCCAGAUGUAGUUUGACGACAGAGAGAGCAACAAAUAGCCCUCUGUGCUUCAGCUUGUUUCUAGAUAAGGUGAAGGAGGCGAAGAAGCAAAGGUUUACACUCCACAAUCUAUGAGUCAUUUUAUGUUUCUAAUACUUUAUUUAACAUACAUGGUUGUUUGGAGCUUUUGGAGGCUUAACAAGUCAGAACAACAGAGCAGAUCAGCAGCAGGAAAAGUCACUAGAAUGUAUCUUUUUGCAUUUUGAGUUUCAUUGAACAUCACAUAGUUGUGACAGAUGAACCCUAAAUCUUAAUCACAACCAUUAUGCAUGUUAUUGAACGAUGUGAAGUCACGAGGAAAGCUUUAAAUUACAUGCAAAAUGUGCAAAAAAUGACUAUUUGUGCAAAUUUUUAUAGCUUACAUAGUUUUUAUAUAUCAGAAAUUGAUUCUACAAUCCCGUUUCUGCAGCUGACUGGUUCUUAGCAUUUACUUUGAUGAUUUUAGAUUCAUUUGACCAAACAUAAAAGCACCACCAACACAUAUGACAACUGUUCUCACAGGAUUAUAUUAAUAUUAUCACAAAUAUAAUCUUGUGAGGAAAACAAAGCAGUCCAGUGCCAUGAAAAGUCACUUACCAUUUUAGCAUUUCAUUUUCUAACCUAAUUUUCUAACCAAUUUGCAUGUUAUUUAAUGCUGUAAAGUCAUAUAAGAAAAGCUUAAAAAAAGUGCAGAAAUGACAGCGAAAUGUGCAAAAACUGGCCUGUAAUUUAAGUUGUUUUAUGAUAUUUAUUUUUAUAUUUAUUGUGGAAAACUUUCAGCUGUUUGCAUCGUGUUUUAUACAUCAGGAUUCAUUCUACAAUCUAUUUUCUGCAGUUGACCAGUUCUUAGUCAUUUCUUUUUAAAUCCUUUGACCAAACACCAACGUGCCAACAACCCAUAUGGCUGACAGAUUUACAUUAAUAUCAUAGGAUGUAUAGUCCUGUGAGGAAAACAGAGCACCCUAAAAGCAUAAAAUGUCUCUUAGCAUGCAUUUUUUUUUUGCAUUUUGAACAUUUGAACAUCGUGUAGUUGUGAGAAACUAACACUAACUCUAAUUCUUAACCAUUUUGCAUGUCAUUUAACACCAUAAAGUCACAAGAGAACAGCUUAAAAAGUGUAGAAAUGACAGCAAAAUGUGCAAAAACUGGCCUGCAAUUUAUGCUAUUUAAUUAUAUUUAUAUUUAUUGUGGAAGAAUCUCAACUGUUUGCAUCGUGUUUUACACACCAGGAUUCAUUCUACAAUCCAGUUUCUACAGCUGAGCUGUUCUUAGUAUUUACUUUUUAGGUUCCUUUGACCAAACAACAGAGCACAGGCAACACGUGACAACUGCUCUCCCGUGUUUAUUCUAAUGUUGUACGAUGUCUAAUCCUGUGAGGUAAACAGAGCUCUAAUGCAGUUUGUGAAACUACUCUGACUGGCUAACUCCUCCUCACAACUGCUGCUUUAUCUGCUCCUCAAUGUAAUGUGUGGAGCGUAAGCAGAGCACGGUGGAGGAGUGAGGGCACUAUAACAGAUUACAUCCUUGAUGAACCGUAUACCCAAGCAAGCAGCGGUGAUUGGACUUAAUAACGCAGAUUUGCAUUUUCCCAAACAGAGGGGAGCCAGUUGUCAGGAGGAGCGCACACAAACGCUCUCCCAUACAGACACAAUUACUCUGCUUUUGUGGAGGGGUUUGCACAACAACAACGGCAGAGCGGUGAACCCAGAUGACUUUUGAAAUUAGCUUCCCACAAAUGACGCAUGACAGCUUGAGUGCUGUAAAAAACCAAACGAAGCCUUUAUGGAUGGUAUCGUGCGGCUCGGCUGGGAAAUAAAGAGCACAAAUGGUGCUUUUGUGCGUUUUCCUACACGUUUGUUCACAGAGAAGCGAGGGAGAAGUGGAGUUUAUUAUCAGAGACGUUUUAGAGCUUCUAAGUGGUCGAACAUCACGCUUUUCCAGCUCUACAGCGGGAGGAAAUUAACCCCAGAGCACACCUUCUGAUAUAACAUCCUCCUCCUCAGCUUCUAUCUCCCCGUGGCCCCAAUUCAGACACUCAAAAGCCAUGAUGUCACCUUGAGCCAGCGUUUUUCACAUUUUCCUCUCCAGUCUGGCAGCCUCCGGCUCAGAGCAAAGCCAGAACUGUGGAGGUGUGGCUGUGGAACCUGGCAUUCAGAAAGCAGCUCCAAAUCUGAAUGAAUCACUGCACAUUAUGUAAAUCUGAAACACGAGAAAAGAAAAGGCACGCGCUGUAAACAAGUGCUGCUUGUGAUUCUGUCAGACUUCAGUGUUUUGGUGAUAAAGGGCAGGCCGGGAUCGUGAGGACCCUCCUGUGCUGUUGUGUCCCAGUUAGCGGAGCUCUUGGUGGAAUAGCCAUUCAAAUCACCAUGCAUCCGAUUCACAUUGACCCAGAAUUAGUCGGUCACUCUGUGUGGCGGCAAAAAAAAAGAAAAAAACGCACCCAUCACCUAGCAAAGCUCUUAUCAGAAACACUCAGAGGCUAUAUUUACCAGAAAAUGGGUUAUUAUGCUUGGAAACAUGGAAAUAAUUCAGUUAAAAGUUGCUUAGUUUUUCAGUCUCGAAACUUUUAAUGAAACGACGAGUGGGUGGAAGGAUGGACGUGAGCAGAGGUGUUAAAGGAAACAGCAAGAACGCUAAACUGAUAGAAGAAUGAGGGAAAAAACAGUGUGGGAUGAGAGAAGUGGGUGUAAUAACAGCUGGAAACGGGAGGAUGGAGAGUAAGCAAAGGGUCAGUUAGACGCUGCACAUCAAAGAGAGCGAAGACGGCGGCGGCAGUGGAGUUUAAUGGAAGGAGGUGAAACUAAAAUGACAGGCGAUACCUCCCUCUAAUCACCCUCCUCUGGAACUAAACCGCUGCAAAUUAACCAAGCUGCAAGGUCAAUGAUACGCUCCCAGAUGUUCUCGUCCUCGUUGGGUGUUCACCGUUUAGCGCUAGCAUCAUGUUGUGAAAGUUCAGUGAGGUCGAUAGAGGUUGAGGAGGCAGAGAGACACACCAGAGACUCAGAUGACUUAGUUUGUUAAUAAAGUUUACUGAUAUAUCAGGAGAAGUGACACCAACAGAGCAGCAGUACAUGCCAGCAUCGGUUCUCAGGAUUCUCUCUGGUCUUUGGGUUUAUAUUGUAGUUGGGAGAAGGUCAGAUUUAGACUACAGAUCAAUAUGGAGACAAUUUGUCUGCUUAGGCACGUCAGAAUAGAGAAUAUCUAACCUUGACCAGAGCAGAGAAUCCUGGCAUAUCUUUCUCCUACAGCGUCUGCCUGUCUGAAGAUAAUUUCAGAUGAUGUCAGCUAACAGCCACAAGGAAAUACCCUAGAAAAGAGAAAGAGUAAUUUUUCCUUCACACCUCUUCUGGACUUUGUUUUACUGUUUAUUCAUAUUGUAGCAGUACAAAAAUCCGACUCCACCAGAAUGUGUCAUAAAGACUCAGAAUGUAAAGUUUCUACUGCAGGAAAGUGGUUAAACCUGUCAUUUUCUUUAAUUGGGUAAACCUCGUGCCUGUUUGUAACCCGGGUGAUAAAACCCUAGUUAGAAAUAUAAAUAAAUAAGUAUAUCCUCCAUUCCCGUCUCCAACACUGUCCUGUCAAAUGCGUAAUGACGUCACACGUCACGCUGUGCGUCCUGUCACGUGACGGUGCGCGGCCAAUCGGGUUGUUUUAUAUCCGGAAGUUACUCGCGAGCCGCGAGCUUCAAGAGGGGGACGCGUUGGGAACAUUUGCUGCAAGGUACGGUGCUAUUUUCGCUUAAUUUCGUAACAUUAACUUUUAAAACUAAAGCAAACCGUCUCAAACUAUAGGAGCCAACUACCGGAGCCGCGGGUGUUGAUUAAAGAAGGAAUUGGCCAGGUGAUGGCGAGCUAGACCCAAAGAAUUCUAGGCCCACACCGCCUGAAGAACCCUGGAGCGUGAACUGAACUGGACCUCCUGCACCUCCUCCACCUGGUUGGGCUGGUAGGAGGCUCCUUUAAGGCAGCUGCCCCUUUCUUUUACUUUUUGCCCCUCGCAACAACUCAUUCUUGGCCCAAACCCAUUCACCACUCGUUCAACACUCCCUUUCCCUGGACACCGCCCUUUCCCUCUGGACGAUUUGGGCCACUGAACUGUUGUGUGUGUUCUAUCUCGGCUGAACUUCAGAACUCUUUCACGCGUCUAAUGGAUCAUUUCUCGCGUGAUAAUGGAUCCAUCGAAUAAUGUUUUCUUGUGAAAUAAUUGUGACUUAAUUCUGUACUUCUCAUGAAUGGCCAUUCACUUUAAAUGUUAAAUGUUGUUUGUCUAUGUCAAAAUAUAAUAUAAUUGGUACCACCUAAAACUUA